CGAGGGAUUUUCGGCAAUGGGCGCAAGCCUGACCGAGCAACGCCGCGUGCGGGACGACGCCCCUCGGGGUGUAAACCGCUUUUGGUCGGGGCGAAGAUGACGGUACCGAUCGAAUAAGUCUCGGCUAACUACGUGCCAGCAGCCGCGGUAAGACGUAGGAGACGAGCGUUGUCCGGAUUUACUGGGCGUAAAGCGCGCGCAGGCGGCCCCGCAGGUCGGUUGUGAAAGCCCCCGGCUCAACCGGGCGGAGGCGAGCGAAACCGCGGGGCUGGAGGCUGGCAGAGGGUGGUGGAAUUCCCGGUGUAGUGGUGAAAUGCGUAGAGAUCGGGAGGAACACCCGCGGCGAAGGCGGCCACCUGGACCAGGCCUGACGCUGAGGCGCGAAGGCCGGGGGAGCGAACGG
rnacentral:rRNA from 1 species